GAUGAACGCUGGCGGCGUGCCUAAUACAUGCAAGUCGAACGGGGGCAGUAGCGAUACUGUCCUAGUGGCGAACGGGUGAGUAACGCGUUGGUGACCUGCCCCAGAGAGGGGGAUAACAGACCGAAAGGUCUGCUAAUACCGCAUAGAUUCUCAGCAGUUAGAGGGGCUGAGAAGAAAGCCGAAAGGCGCUCUGGGAGGGGCCUGCGUCCCAUCAGCUAGUUGGUAGGGUAACGGCCUACCAAGGCGAAGACGGGUAGGGGACCUGAGAGGGUGGCCCCCCACAAUGGAACUGAAACACGGUCCAUACACCUACGGGUGGCAGCAGUAGGGGAUAUUGGUAAAUGGGCGAAAGCCUGACCCAGCAACGCCGCGUGCGCGAAGAAGGCCUUCGGGUUGUAAAGCGCUUUUCUGAGGGAUGAGGAAGGACAGUACCUGAGGAAUAAGUCUCGGCUAACUACGUGCCAGCAGCCGCGGUAAGACGUAGGAGACGAGCGUUAUCCGGAUUUACUGGGCGUAAAGCGCGUGCAGGCGGCUCGUUAAGUUGGAUGUGAAAGCCCCUGGCUAAACUAGGGGAGGUCGUUCAAGACUGGCGGGCUAGAGUGCAGCAGAGGAGAGUGGAAUUCCGAGUGUAGCGGUAAAAUGCACAGAUAUUCGGAAGAACACCAGAGGCGAAGGCGGCUCUCUGGGCUGCAACUGACGCUCAGACGCGAAAGCUAGGGGAGCGAACGGGGAUUAGAGACCCCGGUAGUCCUAGCCGUAAACGAUGUGGACUUGGCGUGGGUAGGGUAAAGCCUGUCCGUGCCGAAGCAAACGCGAUAAGUCCACCGCCUGGGGACUACGGCCGCAAGGUUAAAACUCAAAGGAAUUGACGGGGGCCCGCACAAGCAGCGGAGCGUGUGGUUUAAUUCGAUGCUACACGAAGAACCUUACCAGGGUUUGACAUGUACGUGGUAGGGAAACGAAAGUGGACCGACCCUUCGGGGAGCGUACACAGGUGUUGCAUGGCUGUCGUCAGCUCGUGUCGUGAGAUGUUCGGUUAAGUCCGCUAACGAGCGCAACCCGCGCCGCGUGUUACAAGUGUCACGCGGGACUGCCGGUGUCAAGCCGGAGGAAGGUGCGGAUGACGUCAAGUCAGCAUGACCUAUAUAUCCUGGGCUACACACACGCUACAAUGGCCGGUACAAUGGGUCGCGAAGCCGCGAGGCGGAGCCAAUCCAGAAAGCCGGUCUCAGUUCAGAUUGCAGGCUGCAACCCGCCUGCAUGAAGACGGAGUUGCUAGUAACCGCAGGUCAGCCAUACUGCGGUGAAUACGUUCCCGGGCCUUGUACACACCGCCCGUCACGUCAUGGGAGCUGGCAACACCUGAAGUCGGUAUCUGAACCGUAAGGGAGGAGCCGCCGAGGGUGGGGCUGGUGACUGGGACG
rnacentral:rRNA from 1 species